AGACGAAGAGAAGCUACCGAGGCAUGGUUACGGCGCCGCAUCACCUCGCGGCCCAGGCUGGUCUUUCCGUUCUGUCCGACGGCGGCAAUGCGAUUGAAGCAAUGAUUGCCUCGGCUGCGGCAAUCGCCGUCGUCUAUCCGCACAUGAACGGUCUCGGCGGUGAUAGUUUCUGGCUUAUCGGCAAGCCGGGAUCGGCGCCGAUCGG
rnacentral:misc_RNA from 1 species